UAGGGAAUCUUCGGCAAUGGGGGGAACCCUGACCGAGCAACGCCGCGUGAGUGAAGAAGGUUUUCGGAUCGUAAAGCUCUGUUGUUAAGGAAGAACGAGUGUGAGAAUGGAAAGUUCAUACUGUGACGGUACUUAACCAGAAAGGGACGGCUAACUACGUGCCAGCAGCCGCGGUAAUACGUAGGUCCCGAGCGUUGUCCGGAUUUAUUGGGCGUAAAGCGAGCGCAGGCGGUUAGAAAAGUCUGAAGUGAAAGGCAGUGGCUCAACCAUUGUAGGCUUUGGAAACUGUUUAACUUGAGUGCAGAAGGGGAGAGUGGAAUUCCAUGUGUAGCGGUGAAAUGCGUAGAUAUAUGGAGGAACACCGGUGGCGAAAGCGGCUCUCUGGUCUGUAACUGACGCUGAGGCUCGAAAGCGUGGGGAGCGAACAGGAUUAGAUACCCUGGUAGUCCACGCCGUAAACGAUGAGUGCUAGGUGUUAGGUCCUUUCCGGGACUUAGUGCCGUAGCUAACGCAUUAAGCACUCCGCCUGGGGAGUACGACCGCAAGGUUG
rnacentral:rRNA from 1 species